GUCUUACACAUGCAGUCGAACGAUGAAGCCCAGCUUGCUGGGUGGAUUAGUGGCGAACGGGUGAGUAACACGUGAGUAACCUGCCCUUAACUCUGGGAUAAGCCUGGGAAACUGGGUCUAAUACCGGAUAGGAGCGCCUACCGCAUGGUGGGUGUUGGAAAGAUUUAUCGGUUUUGGAUGGACUCGCGGCCUAUCAGCUUGUUGGUGAGGUAAUGGCUCACCAAGGCGACGACGGGUAGCCGGCCUGAGAGGGUGACCGGCCACACUGGGACUGAGACACGGCCCAGACUCCUACGGGAGGCAGCAGUGGGGAAUAUUGCACAAUGGGCGCAAGCCUGAUGCAGCGACGCCGCGUGAGGGAUGACGGCCUUCGGGUUGUAAACCUCUUUCAGUAGGGAAGAAGCGAAAGUGACGGUACCUGCAGAAGAAGCACCGGCUAACUACGUGCCAGCAGCCGCGGUAAUACGUAGGGUGCGAGCGUUAUCCGGAAUUAUUGGGCGUAAAGAGCUCGUAGGCGGUUUGCCGCGUCUGUCGUGAAAGUCCGGGGCUUAACCCCGGAUCUGCGGUGGGUACGGGCAGACUAGAGUGCAGUAGGGGAGACUGGAAUUCCUGGUGUAGCGGUGGAAUGCGCAGAUAUCAGGAGGAACACCGAUGGCGAAGGCAGGUCUCUGGGCUGUAACUGACGCUGAGGAGCGAAAGCAUGGGGAGCGAACAGGAUUAGAUACCCUGGUAGUCCAUGCCGUAAACGUUGGGCACUAGGUGUGGGGACCAUUCCACGGUUUCCGCGCCGCAGCUAACGCAUUAAGUGCCCCGCCUGGGGAGUACGGCCGCAAGGCUAAAACUCAAAAGGAAUUGACGGGGGCCCGCACAAGCGGCGGAGCAUGCGAUAAUCGAUGCACGCGAGAACCUUACCAAGCUGACAUGUCUCGAUCGGCGUAAAGAUACGUUUCCCUUGGGGCGGGUUCACAGUGUGCAUGGAUGUCGUCAGCUCUGUCUGAAUGUUGAUAAGUCCGCACGAGCGCACCUCGUUCCAUGUGCAGCACGUCUUGUGGGUCACCAUGGAACUGCGGUCACUAGAGAAAGUGCAGAUUCAGACCGUCAAAUAUCUAACUG
rnacentral:rRNA from 1 species